GGGGCUGAUGGGAAUUGUAGUCCAUAACAUCUGGAGUGCCAAAGGUUCGCCACCACUGCAAUAACUUAAGCAAGAAUAAUCUACGUGAAUUACUAUGUACUACAUAAUAAAUGUGUAUUAUUGCUGUUA